ACCAGACUCCUACGGGAGGCAGCAGUAGGGAAUCUUCCACAAUGGGCGAAAGCCUGAUGGAGCAACGCCGCGUGGGUGAAGAAGGUCUUCGGAUCGUAAAACCCUGUUGUUAGAGAAGAAAGUGCGUGAGAGUAACUGUUCACGUUUCGACGGUAUCUAACCAGAAAGCCACGGCUAACUACGUGCCAGCAGCCGCGGUAAUACGUAGGUGGCAAGCGUUAUCCGGAUUUACUGGGUGUAAGGGCGUGCAGCCGGGCUGACAAGUCAGAUGUGAAAUCCCGCGGCUCAACCGCGGAACUGCAUUUGAAACUGUCAGUCUUGAGUACCGGAGAGGUCAUCGGAAUUCCUUGUGUAGCGGUGAAAUGCGUAGAUAUAAGGAAGAACACCAGUGGCGAAGGCGGAUGACUGGACGGCAACUGACGGUGAGGCGCGAAAGCGUGGGGAGCAAACAGGAUUAGAUACCCGAGUA
rnacentral:rRNA from 1 species